ACGUAGGGGGCAAGCGUUGUCCGGAUUUAUUGGGCGUAAAGAGCGUGUAGGCGGCCUGGAAGGUCAGCUGUGAAAACUCGAGGCUCAACCUCGAGACGUCGGUUGAAACCACCUGGCUAGAGUCCGGAAGAGGAGAGUGGAAUUCCCGGUGUAGCGGUGAAAUGCGCAGAUAUCGGGAAGAACACCCGUGGCGAAGGCGGCUCUCUGGGACGGUACUGACGCUGAGACGCGAAAGCGUGGGGAGCGAACAGG
rnacentral:rRNA from 1 species